UCAAACAACUGAAAGCGUCAAGGGAGAGCAGGAAGAGCACAUACAGUUUUGGUAGAACCGUGUGUGCUUUCAAAAUGCUUCUCCUUCCUCAUUAUGCACACAGCCUUCCUGCCUGUCGGGGGACAUGUGGUGAAGCUCGGUGACCACAGAGACUGAGCGGCCGCUGCCUUUCAUUCUAGACUGAGUGGAAUGCAUGCUUCCCAGCCCGGGUUUCUGCCUGGCUCUGUCUGACAGCACACAGUGGGGACGAACACGACCGCUUUGCUUUGACGUCAUCUGCUUUAAGCCAGAGACCUGUCAUAACCAAACACCUACCCUGACGACACAGAAACCUGGGUGUCUGAAAGAGGACUCACUCCAGGGCUGCUGUCUCCCAGGUGGGAGGAGUCACUGCACCAACUUCCUCCUCUGGCUCACAAGUCUUUUGAAUUUCAAGUCUGGUCCCCAAAGGAAAGGCUAGCGGCACAGGACCCCACAGAGGAUGUCUGACUCCUGGAGGGAGAGCCAACACAGCCGGAGCCUGUCCACGCCAGCACUGCUCCGAGAUCUGUCGCUGCUUCUAAAGAAUGUGGAAUUACUUGAUGAAACCACUUCCCUCAUUUCGUAAGCACUAACAAAGAUGGGUAUCAAUCAUCAGGACCAAAAACCAGACCAAAGACAGCAACCAAUGCAACUGUUUGCUGAGACAAGGAGGGUCUGAUAAAAACGGCUGGCUUAUCCCACCUCUCACAGAUUCCUACCUCUAGUGAGUCUACUGCCUGCCUUCUUUACAUCGGACACUUCCUUGGGAGGAUCUGUACUCAUUUAAACUUGACAAACCAGAGAAGAGGUAGUCUUAUGUCACUCUGCAAAACAAUGCAUCAGAGGCAUCACCAGGCAACUAGAUUUUAAAGUAAUUGUAUAUUUAUAUGUGUAUCUGCUUACAACUAAAGCAUUUAAUACUCUCAGGGAAAAAAAAUGUUCCUUUGGCUAAACAGCUUGGAAGUGCAUUCAAUUUGGACACGGCGCUAUCUGAUCUGUUAGAUACCCUGUGAUCAGGCCACUUAAAUGUGUGAGUGCACAAUACGUACACGCACAGCCCAGACCAGCAUUUCUCAAACUACUCUUCAUAGGUGGGGCUGGCCUGUGAGCUGGUACCCAUUCAGAUGACGUAAGCAAGGCACUGUAUUAUUUAGGGAGGAUUAUAGCAAAUUACAAAGUGCUGUCGGGUCUGCAAACCUACCCUACAGCGCAAGCUUUUACAGGCUUUUUCUUUCGGUUUCCUUUUACUUCACUUUUCACAUAACUGUUUUUAUGCUUUACUGAAAUUCACAAACGACUGGGUGGGGGGUAGGGCUAUCAAGACAGCCCAUCAGCACAGAAGUCUGAGAAACACUAAAAUACAGCCAAGACCAAACCAGAAACUCACUGUCAUUCAGCAUCCUCACUCAUCUUCUCUGGUGACAGCAUGGAGACGUCCCAUCGUCAGGCUUGUGGCCAGGGUACAAUGGUACUGCCUAUAGUUUUUGCUCCUUCCCUUCCUCCCUCCUCUAUCUUCCUCUCUGUAUUUUUUAGAUGUGAUCUCUGCCAAGCAAACUGAUUGAAACUUUUAGACUUAAGCAAUCUGCAUCUUAGUCUCCUGUCUCUCGGGUACAGAUACACGGAACACAGUACUUUUUCAACAACACACUUCUUCUGUGAGGUCCAGGCCAGCCAGCCAGGGCUCCUCAGUGAGACCCAGGUUUUCUGCUUGUUCAUCUGUCUGUUUUGAGUGUAUGCACGUGUGUACAUCUGUGGGGGCCGGGGAUGGUUGCUGGAGUCAGUUCUACGCUUCUACCAUGGCUCACUCAGCGAUUAAGGCUCUCAGCACAUACUCAAUGAGCCAUCUUGCUGGCCUACUAAUUCAUUUCUUUAGAAAUAAUUGCCACUUCUACAGAAGUCACACCUACAGGCUAAGAGAUGACUCACUCAGGGUUAAGAGCAGUUGUUACUGUUGAGACCCAGGACUCAGUUCCUAGCACUUCCAUGGUGACACACAGCCAUCUCUAGCUAGUUCCAGGGGGCCUGGUGCCUACCUCUGACCUCAUGUCCUCUUUUGACCUCCAAGGACACCACUAGGCACACAAAUUGUGCAGAUAUACACAUACAGGCAAGACACUCACAUAUAAAAAAUAAGAUAAAUCUAAAACAAACAAAAGAAACCCACACCCAGGCGUGUGAUGCUGCAGGCAUUUAGCAGAAUUCCCACAGCUGAACAGCAUCUGUGGAGUUUUCCAGUGUGAGAAGCAGCUAACUUCCAAUUAGAGUGAGCAUCUGGCUAGAGCUGCAUGCUAACCCUGGUGUUUAGGAAGGCCUGUAGAGGUAUCUGUUCUGCUGCCUUCAACAGGAGGGUGAAGGGCCCCUCUAAUUCUGUGACCAGGACCAGGUAGACAAGUUGAAUCUUGGGUGUUCUUCACAUAUGUCAAUAAGGACCUCUGGUGGACUAUGUCUCAAACAGGCUUGUUUCCAUGUUUCUGUUUUGUAUUGGAAUCAAAUAAAAAUGGCUCCCCACA